GAGUUUGAUCCUGGCUCAGAACGAACGCUGGCGGCGUGCCUAACACAUGCAAGUCGAACGUGAUCCAGAGCUUGCUCUGGUGAAGGUGGCGCACGGGUGAGUAACGCGUGGAUAACCUACCCUGGUAUCCGGGAUAACAUUCCGAAAGGGGUGCUAAUACCGGAUAAGCCCACGGGCUCUUUGGAGCUUGCGGGAAAAGGUGGCCUCUAUUUAUAAGCUACUGUAUCAGGAUGGGUCCGCGUACCAUUAGCUAGUUGGCGGUGUAACGGACCACCAAGGCGACGAUGGUUAGCUGGUCUGAGAGGAUGAUCAGCCACACUGGAACUGAGACMCGGUCCAGACUCCUACGGGAGGCAGCAGUGGGGAAUUUUGCGCAAUGGGGGAAACCCUGACGCAGCAACGCCGCGUGAGUGAUGAAGGCCUUUGGGUCGUAAAGCUCUGUCAGAGGGGAAGAAAUGAUAUAGUGCUAAUACCACUUUAUCUUGACGGUACCCUCAAAGGAAGCACCGGCUAACUCCGUGCCAGCAGCCGCGGUAAUAC
rnacentral:rRNA from 1 species